GACGUAGGGCGCGAGCGUUGUCCGGAUUUAUUGGGCGUAAAGAGCUCGUAGGCGGCUUGUUGCGUCAGCUGUGAAAACCCGCAGCUCAACUGUGGGCUUGCAGCUGAUACGGGCAGGCUUGAGUUCGGUAGGGGAGACUGGAAUUCCUGGUGUAGCGGUGAAAUGCGUAGAUAUCGAGAGGAACACCUGCGGCGAAGGCGGGUUGCUGGGCUGAUACUGACGCUGAUGCGCGAAAGCCAGGGGAGCGAACGGG
rnacentral:rRNA from 1 species